rnacentral:rRNA from 1 species
UAAUACGGGGGGAGCGAGCGUUGUUCGGAAUCACUGGGCGUAAAGGGUGUGUAGGCGGGUAAGUAAGUCGGGCGUGAAAACUCCAGGCUCAACCUGGAGCCUGCGUUCGAAACUGCUUGUCUUGAGUACGGGAGAGGAAAGUGGAAUUCCUGGUGUAGCGGUGAAAUGCGUAGAUAUCAGGAGGAACACCGGUGGCGAAGGCGGCUUUCUAGACCGAUACUGACGCUGAGACACGAAGGCUAGGGGAGCAAACAGGAUUAGAUACCCUGGUAGUCCUAGCGGUAAACGUUGGGCACUAGGUGUUGUCCCUUCACCGGGGCAGUGCCGCAGUUAACGCAAUAAGUGCCCCGCCUGGGGAGUACGACCGCAAGGUUG